rnacentral:lncRNA from 1 species
AAAAAUCUAAUCAAAACCUAAUCAAAAUCGCGUCUCUCUCCCCAUCUCUCGCCUCUCGCCUCAGGGUCGCCUGCUUCUCUCGAAGCUCCACCGGACUCUCGCUCGCUACUUCUACUUCCAGUCCUCCACCGGUGGCCGCAUCUCCUGGAUUAGUGUAUCAAAUAUCCCCAAAGUCGAAACUCGAAACCCCAAUUUUCCCCCACCCAAGUCCGCAGGCCGCCGCAACUGAACUGCCGUUUUGCAUCGAUGAAGGUAAUAUUUCAUGAAUUGUUCGACUACUAGUGUAAAAAAAUGUGUCCUUUAUGUCUAUGAAGCUUUUAUUUAUUGUCAUUGAUUUCCUGGACUGGCUGGAGCCGCUGGACAGAAUUAUUUCCAGAUGAAACGAAUGAAAUGGAACACGUUUAUUUGAAUAAUAAUUUGGCCGUGUUUGAGUGUUUCGAUUUGUAAUUUAAAAUUAUUUCCACUGCAUUGUAGUAUUCUAAGUGUUUUUCCCAAUUUUGCAAAAUCUUUUCUCAAGAAGAUUGUUCAAUUCAGUUUAGAAGUUAUUGUUCAAUUUAGAAGUUAUGGUUCAUUGAAUUCACUGUUUUUGGCUUAAAAAAUGAAGCUCGACCUUCAUGUUUAUUUGAUUGUCGAAAAUUUUAUGCAGUUGAUUUGGAUGGAGCAUUAUUUUCACUGUUUAUGCAGUUGAUCCGGAUGGAGCAUGUACUGCUAUCCAAUUCAUGACAUUUUGCAACAUAAACUCCUUUUUAACAGAGGUAUUUUAUUUGUCAGCCUACUGUCUUGUGUGUUUCAUCAUUUGUCAACUGGUUUGAUGCCUUUAAUUGUUUGACCCAAAUAAAAGCUUGAUUUCAAGUCAUCAAUUUUACUCCAAAAUGAAUACUUCCCUUUAACAUUGUUGAUAUUUUAAUGGAAAUUUUAAAUGUGUAGAUUUUUUUCCUUCACAUUUUUUAUUCGUAUUCCGAAUUCAACUUGUAUUAAUAUUGGUUGUAACAACUUGAGAUGUGAAUUGCACUGCGAAUUGAGAUUGUGAAAUUGUGAAUUUAUGAUUCUUUUGUCGUUAUGAAUUAUUCUCACUCACUCCCAGUAAUAAUUGGAUAUCAAAUGUUUAAAUUCAGAUAUGAAAUGAAUAGAUACUUUCAACGAAAAAGGAACGUAGAUAAUAUUGAUGAGGGGUAUCGAAUGAUGUGGAAUUUGAUGUCACAAAACUUCCAACUGAUCAUGGUCUAAGGAUACCUAUUUUGGAUUACAAUGCUAACAUCCGAGAUGAAGUUCGAAGAGCAUAUAUGUUAAAGGGUCCUUGUCAGCCUGGAGAUCAUGACUUUCCAAAACGACAAUUUGGAGUAACAAUUAGACGAUUCAAUCCUUCGUGGUUUAAAGAGUUCAGUAGUUGGUUGGAGUACAGUAUAGAGAAGGACGCUGCUUAUUGUUUGUAUUGUUAUCUUUUCAGAACAAGUUCUGGAAAGCAAGGUGGCGGUGAGUCUUUUGUUGGCGAAGGUUUUACAUAUUGGAAAGAUAAAAAAAGACUUCAUACUCAUGUUGGACUUCAUGAUAGUGCACAUAAUCAAGCUCACAUUAAGUGUGAAGUGUUGAUAAACCAAGAGCAACACAUUCAAUCAGUUUUCUACAAACAAUCAGAACAAGCAAGAAGUGCAUAUGUUACACGUCUUAAUGCAUCCAUUGAUUGUG